rnacentral:rRNA from 2 species
AAGGCUAGGUAAGCUAGAUGUCGAGUCUGACGGAGCACGCCGCGUGAGUGAAGAAGGUUUUCGGAUCGUAAAACUCUGUUGUUAGGGAAGAACAAGUGCCGUUCGAAUAGGGCGGCGCCUUGACGGUACCUAACCAGAAAGCCACGGCUAACUACGUGCCAGCAGCCGCGGUAAUACGUAGGUGGCAAGCGUUGUCCGGAAUUAUUGGGCGUAAAGCGCGCGCAGGUGGUUUCUUAAGUCUGAUGUGAAAGCCCACGGCUCAACCGUGGAGGGUCAUUGGAAACUGGGGAACUUGAGUGCAGAAGAGGAAAGUGGAAUUCCAAGUGUAGCGGUGAAAUGCGUAGAUAUUUGGAGGAACACCAGUGGCGAAGGCGACUUUCUGGUCUGUAACUGACACUGAGGCGCGAAAGCGUGGGGAGCAAACAGGAUUAGAUACCCCGGUAGUCA